UGAUCAGUAUUGCCUUGGAUG
rnacentral:miRNA from 1 species